UAGGGAAUCUUCCACAAUGGGCGAAAGCCUGAUGGAGCAACGCCGCGUGUGUGAUGAAGGCUUUAGGGUCGUAAAGCACUGUUGUAUGGGAAGAAAUGCUAGAAUAGGGAAUGAUUCUAGUUCGACGGUACCAUACCAGAAAGGGACGCUAAAUACGUGCCAC
rnacentral:rRNA from 1 species